GUGUGGGAGUGGCGAAAGGGGUCCAGAGGCUUGGCUGCCUUCGCGGCCCCCCACCUUGGACUUAACUCAUUUUCGCCCCCAGCCCUUGUCGCCGUACCUUGCAAGUACUGUGGCGAAGGAAGCUGGGCUAGCUUCGCGACCCCCAGCUUGGACUUAACUCCUUUUCUCCUCCAGCCCUUGUCGCCAUACCUUGCGGGUACUUUGGCGAAGGGCGUGGGAGUGGCGAAAGGAGUCCAGAGGCUAGGGCGGCUUCGAAUCCCCCAAGCCUGGAAGCAACUCAUUUUCGCCCCCAGCCGUUGUCGCCGUACCUUUCGGGUACUGUGGCGAAGGGUGUGGGUGUGGCGAAAGGGGUCUAGAGGCUGGGCUGGCUUUGCGGCCCCCAGCUUGGACUUAACUCAUUUUCGCCCCCAGCCCUUGUCACCGAACCUUGUGGGUGUGGCGAAAGGGGUCCAGAGGCUGCGCUGGCUCCGCGGCGGCCCCCUAACUUGCACUUUACUCUUUUUCGCCCCCAGCCCUUAUCGUCGUACCUUGCGGGUACUGUGGCGAAGGGUGUGGGUGUGGCGAAAGGGGUCCAGAGGCUGGGCUGGCUUCACGGCCCCCAGCUUGGACUUAAAUUCUUUUUGCCCCCAGCCCUUGUCGCCGUACCUUGCGGGGUGUGGGUGUGGCGAAACUGGUGCAGAGGCUGGGCUGGCUUCGCGGCACCCAGCUUGGACUAAACUCCUUUUCGCCCCCAGCCCUUGUCGCCUGGGUGUGGCGAAAGGGGUCCAGAAGCUGGGCUGGCUUCACGGCCCCCAGCUUGGACUUAACUCCUUUUCUCCUCCAGCCCUUGUCGCCGUACCUUGCAGGUACUUUGGCGAUGGGCGUGGGAGUGGGGUAAGGAGUCCAGAGGCUAGGGCGGCUUCGAAUCCUCCAAGCCUGGAAGCAACUCAUUUUCGCCCCCAGCCCGUGUCGCCGUACCUUUCGGGUAUUGUGGCGAAGGGUGUGGGUGUGGCGAAAGGGGUCCAGAGGCUGGGCUGGCUUUGUGGCCCCCAGCUUGGACUUAUCUCGUUUUCGGCCCCAGCCCUUCCCUUGUUGUCGUACCUUGAGGGUACUGUGGCGAAGGGCGUGGGUGUGGCGAAAGUGAUCCAAAGGCUGGGCUGGCUUGGCGGCCCCCCAGCUUGGACUUCACUCCUUUUCGCCCCCAGCCCUUGUCGCCGUACCUUGCCGGUACUGUGGCGAAGGGCGUGGGUGUGGUUAAAGGGUCCAGAGGAUAGGGCGGCUUUGAAGCCCCCCAGCUUGGAUGCAACUCAUCUUCACCCCCAGCACUUGUCACCGCACCUUGCGGGUACUGUCGCGAAGGGUGUGGGUGUGGCGAAAGGGGUCCAGAGGCUGGGCUGGCUUUGCGGCCCUCAGCUUGGACUUAACUCCUAA
rnacentral:lncRNA from 1 species